rnacentral:lncRNA from 1 species
UUGACCAAAACUCCUGCCAUGCAUUAAUGUGGAUGGGAUCAUAGCCGGCCGGCGGUAGAAAACAGUGGCCAAAAGCAGUGGACAGACCAUAUGCAGUCGGCAGAAUCCAUCAGAUCAGGGGGCUGUGUCAGAUGGUGGUGGGUGGCACAGUAAUCCAGGCGAAGAGAGUAUAACCUAGCAAGGAAGUCUUCACAAAGAGG